CGAAUUGCUGCAUACAUUUACAACUUAUGUUUGCUGCUAGCUGUAUCAUUACUUCGAAGACAAAUGAGCGUACCUGCACCAGUUGCCGAUCUGCCUCUGUUUGACAUGCGCAGAACGCAUGUGUGAGAGAUAGGUAAACAAAAACAAACCAGCAUUCCUCCGCGUUGUUGCUUGAUAUAGCAUCGCAUCAAAUAACGAAGUGUCGAUUUUAAUGAAAUCUCGAUUAUUAUCAAAGUAAGCAAUCCAGAAUCAAUACUAGAAUAAUAAAUGGAACCCGCCAGUGAAUCGACAGUUUCGGAGCAAGCCGAGACCCAGCGAUGCAUGCCCAAUUCGUCGAAUCCCCUACCACGAGAGUUGGUGUUGCUGAUCCGUACGAAAAAUAAACUAAGGAGGCAACUUAAACGGGACCUCAACAAUAAGGAGCUGUAUCUGCAGUUCAAAGCGCUGGAGAAAAAUAUCAAAAGUCUCGUGAAAUACCUGAAAAGUGUACCUCCCCAAAGUGAAAGUGGUGUUGAUUUCUCGAGCGACGAGUGGAGGCUAAGAUUCUUGAACAACGUACCACCUGGGAAUGAUGAUAACAUAGACUUUACUAGUGACGACUGGAUGUAGGAUUUUCUUUUACCGGCUAAUGUAUUUAAGAAUAGAAUAAAUGCUCUUGCAAAAAAGUUCUUCGUGUUUGUAUUUAUGCAAUAA